UACGGAGGGGGCUAGCGUUAUUCGGAAUUACUGGGCGUAAAGCGCACGUAGGCGGCUUGGUUAGUUGGAGGUGAAAUCCCAGGGCUCAACCUUGGACCUGCCUUCAAAACUUCCAGUCUUGAGUUCGAGAGAGGUAAGUGGAAUUCCGAGUGUAGAUGUGAAAUGCGUAGAUAUUCGGAGGAACACCAGUGGCGAAGGCGGCUUACUGGCUCGAUACUGACGCUGAGGUGCGAAAGCGUGGGGAGCAAACAGG
rnacentral:rRNA from 1 species